rnacentral:rRNA from 1 species
AUGAACGCUAGCGACAGGCUUAACACAUGCAAGUCGAGGGGCAGCACAGGUAGCAAUACCGGGUGGCGACCGGCGCACGGGUGAGUAACGCGUAUGCAACUUGCCUAUCAGAGGGGGAUAACCCGGCGAAAGUCGGACUAAUACCGCAUGAAGCAGGGGCCCCGCAUGGGGAUAUUUGCUAAAGAUUCAUCGCUGAUAGAUAGGCAUGCGUUCCAUUAGGCAGUUGGCGGGGUAACGGCCCACCAAACCGACGAUGGAUAGGGGUUCUGAGAGGAAGGUCCCCCACAUUGGUACUGAGACACGGACCAAACUCCUACGGGAGGCAGCAGUGAGGAAUAUUGGUCAAUGGCCGAGAGGCUGAACCAGCCAAGUCGCGUGAGGGAUGAAGGUUCUAUGGAUCGUAAACCUCUUUUAUAAGGGAAUAAAGUGCGGGACGUGUCCCGUUUUGUAUGUACCUUAUGAAUAAGGAUCGGCUAACUCCGUGCCAGCAGCCGCGGUAAUACGGAGGAUCCGAGCGUUAUCCGGAUUUAUUGGGUUUAAAGGGUGCGUAGGCGGCCUUUUAAGUCAGCGGUGAAAGUCUGUGGCUCAACCAUAGAAUUGCCGUUGGAACUGGGGGGCUUGAGUAUGUUUGAGGCAGGCGGAAUGCGUGGUGUAGCGGUGAAAUGCAUAGAUAUCACGCAGAACCCCGAUUGCGAAGGCAGCCUGCCAAGCCAUUACUGACGCUGAUGCACGAAAGCGUGGGGAUCAAACAGGAUUAGAUACCCUGGUAGUCCACGCAGUAAACGAUGAUCACUAGCUGUUUGCGAUACACUGUAAGCGGCACAGCGAAAGCGUUAAGUGAUCCACCUGGGGAGUACGCCGGCAACGGUGAAACUCAAAGGAAUUGACGGGGGCCCGCACAAGCGGAGGAACAUGUGGUUUAAUUCGAUGAUACGCGAGGAACCUUACCCGGGUUUGAACGCAUUCGGACCGAGGUGGAAACACCUUUUCUAGCAAUAGCCGUUUGCGAGGUGCUGCAUGGUUGUCGUCAGCUCGUGCCGUGAGGUGUCGGCUUAAGUGCCAUAACGAGCGCAACCCUUGCCACUAGUUACUAACAGGUAAAGCUGAGGACUCUGGUGGGACUGCCAGCGUAAGCUGCGAGGAAGGCGGGGAUGACGUCAAAUCAGCACGGCCCUUACAUCCGGGGCGACACACGUGUUACAAUGGCGUGGACAAAGGGAAGCCACCUGGCGACAGGGAGCGAAUCCCCAAAUCACGUCUCAGUUCGGAUCGGAGUCUGCAACCCGACUCCGUGAAGCUGGAUUCGCUAGUAAUCGCGCAUCAGCCAUGGCGCGGUGAAUACGUUCCCGGGCCUUGUACACACCGCCCGUCAAGCCAUGGGAGCCGGGGGUACCUGAAGUCCGUAACCGCGAGGAUCGGCCUAGGGUAAAACUGGUGACUGGGGCU